CAGGGACCCAUAAUCCAUGAGCUGGUAGUUGAUGUUCCUCUACCACCUCAUAGAUCUAGCAAGAUCUUCUGACCUUCUGAAGGGUACAUGGAUAUGCUUACGGAAGAAGUAAAGGAAAUGUUCCGUAUGGGAGAUAGAGGUUAUAUUGAUGAUCCUAAUACCUUUGACGAGGAGAUGUUUAACAUCGAUUUCAAAAAAUGAUUAGAU
rnacentral:lncRNA from 1 species